UUUAGGAGGAAACAAUUGUGUACUGUAUUGGACACACAGAAAAAGUGGACGCUUAUACAUGCACUGGUGUGCAAAUUUAUAGUUGCAUAUCAAAGGUCCUCAGUGAUUUAAGCAAAAGUUUUUCCUUAGAUUUACUGGAUUCUUGACUCAGAUGUGCUUUCUUAUCAAAAGAGACUUAGCCCAUAUUUGAUGAUAAUAAAUUAUACUUGAUUACCUUACGUUUACGUUAUGCACACUCUUUUCUGUUUUCCACUCCAUGGAUUCACAAGGUCAUAUGGAAGGAUUAUUUGACCAGAAGCCAUGGGGACUCCAUAGAUUUAGAAUUCCAUUUGCAAUGUUAUGACAAUAGCUCAUCAUGGUAGCCUGCCUUUAUUAGCGCUACAAAGAGAUACCACAACUAUCAUCAUGUGCCAGAGAACACCUAGAAAAUGUACACUCUCAUUUAGGUUUUUUAUUCCUAUGCUCCCUAUAUUUGAGCCCCUGGGACAUUGGCACAUUGAAAAUUAUUUCUAAAUGACUGCCUAGGAGCAGUAUACAAGGGUAACUGUAUUAUAAAACAGGAGAUUGUCCAUGACAAAGAAGAAAUAAAUCAAUAACAGGUGCAAGUAUCUCAGAAACUGUUACUUCAACAUAAAUUGUCCCUGUAAGAAGGACAGAAAAAUGUUUUUACAAACCUUUUACUUUUUUCAAUUCUCACUGGAAUCCCAUGUCAGAAGAGAAAAUAGCUGUUUGCUUAGAAUAAAGUGUCUUAGCCAUCUACGUGGACCUGACAGUAAUGGCAAAGGAUGGUGCCGAUCAAUAUCCAUCUUCUUCAUUCCUGAAGUAAUAACUUUCAAUAGGAAAAUCUAUUUACUUUUACUUACCUUUAUUUUAUUUCAUUUUGCUUUAAAGAAGUUCAUUCCAGAGGGAGGGUUUACUUGGCAAACAGCAGUUAACAAACUGAUGAUUUAACUAAAGACUCUGGGCCAGGAGGGGCGUGACCAUCACUGUACCUGUGCGAUAAUGUUAAGAGGAAACAUAGUUUUUUGGGAUUCUAAAUUUGUUAUUCAAAUAACAGUCACUAAAGGCCUUUGAGGGCUCACAGCUGCUUAUCUGGAACAUAUAUAAACCAGGGCAAUCAGAAACAAGGGUCGGCAUUCACAUUCUAACAUGCAGGGCUUCUUGAAUAGUUCACAUUCCGUUUGCUGAGGACAUUAUAUGCUACUGGACUGUGUGGUGAGCACAGUGUCACUGGACAAGGAUUUAAAAAGGAAACCUCAAAAUCUUGUCAUUUCAUAUAUUGUAUAAAAACUGUAGUUAGGGAAGACCAUGCAUUCUCUGUCCGAUCUACAACAGAGGUGGGCUUCACCCCAAAUUGUCACAACGGUCAUUAUUUUUAUUUUUAUUUGUGUAUUUAUUUAUUUUUUCACAACAGUCAUUAUUUUUAAAUUGCACUUCAAAAGCAAGUGCUCAACAUGUGACUUUAAGCACUGAAAUAAAUUUUUCAAUGUUUGAAACAUUUUCUCUUCUCUUCUGCUCUUCCAUCUCUGUAGCUUUCAUCCCUGUAGCUGUUGUAUAAUUAUGAUCGAUUUAUAUUUCAAUUGAGUUGGAAUUGGUUUAAAAGUUAUGGUUUUUUUUCCCUCAAUCCAUUUGUUUUACACAUUGUCUUUUUCAAGGGGAUGAAAGUGGACAUUUGAAAUAUCAGACAUUUAAUAGCAUUUAAUGACAAUUCUUAUCAGUGAUUCCAUUGAGUGAUUUUUUUUAUCCUAAUAAUUUUACUUUUGAAGCUAGAAUUAAAUACACUACAAUUUGAUGGGCAUAAAAAGUAUCAUAAUUGUCUUUAUUGAACUCUGGAAUUGACAUCAUGAAAAGCAAUCUUUUAACAACAUGUAGACUACAUUUUUUUUAAUUUCUCUACAUCAAAAAAGAAAUUUAAAAAUGAUUCGCAUACCAGUGCACAAGAGUGAUUUCAAACCAACUAUGAAUAUUAGAUAACCUUUUGAUACUAGAAAUUGCUGCUCAAAAACAUUGAUAUCCAUAUCAAUAACAACUUAAAGUUUUAAAAUAACAAGAAUGAAUUAAAUAGCAACCUGAGACUACUAAUUCUCCUUGUGAAUUUUUACAUUAAUAAUUACUAAUUAAUUUUAAAUCAAAAGGAGUAAUAAAAACCCAUUUCUGAAUUCUAGGUUCACUUACAAGUCUCAGAACACUCACUGUGUAUAUUUGUAACUAAGAAAGGAGAUCACGGGUAUUAAAUCCUGCUUAAAUCAACGUCAAGAUGGGAAAUAAAUUAGAGGCAGUACUCUCCUUAGAAUUUCUAAGAAAACAUAUAUUAACAUGGAUGUAAUAUAGCAAGAGAAUUAAUUGCAAAUAAAGUAAAAUAUACAGAAUGAUAAGGAUGAAUUACAUUUCACUUCUAAUAUCUAAGCGUUCAUUACUAAGAGGAUAUCAGCAAAGAAAAAAAUGCAUGUAUGCUUUACUCCUUCUAAAUUUGCACCAGACGUAGAGGAUCACAUUUUACACAAAGGUGAUCAGGCUUUCCUUCUGAUGAACUUCUCUAUAAGCAUUUUCAUGUGUGUGCAUGUGUACUAGGGAACUAAGACAUGAGAGAGCUUUGUAUAUUGUUGAAACACAAAGGACAGAUAUUCCAUUUAAGUAAGGCUCCCAAUAAAUCUAAAGAAGAAGCCAUUGACGAUUUUAUAAAAAAAAAUAGUUUCACUUGUUAAAAGGCACCAGGGGAUUAGAAAAAAUAUUCAAGGGUCUUAAAGGUUUUAGAAAGCUUUUUGUUGUUGUUGUUCUCAAUGACAGUAAUUUGUAUUCAUUGGUUUGUACUUGCAACAUAUUUUGUUGUAGAAUUUCAUCCGCUAUUUCACGGUGUCUAUGUUGACAUGAAACUGGAUAUUCUAUACCCCUCAAAAAGUGAUUACACUUAUUUUAGGAAAAUCACUAACUAUAAUAAAUAUAUAACAAUAUAUAUAAUUAAAUAUAUGUACUUUAAAGACGUUUUACUAUAGGAAUAGGCAUUAUUGAAAAUACAAAUAUUUGGGAGAGAUGUAAAACUUAAGAAUAAGUUUAAAUCUCAAAUUUAAGGCAGGUAAGUGCUGUUAGUUAUCCCUCAUACUAUACUCAUUUUAAUAUUUCAAUUAAAAUUGAGUAUCUGCAACUGUGCUGUCAGGAAGUAUUAAUACGUGAUUCUUGCGUAAGUUUAAAAAGAGGGGGUAACUGUGGACAUAACGUUUUCAGCUCUGAGGCCUCACAGAAGGCAAAGACCUUCCUCUCACCUGUUCUCUUGGUUGUAUAAAAUUAGAUCUCUUAAAAUCUUGUAUAUUUUGAGGAUUGCGUAAUUGAGAAGAAACUCAGACCCCGCAUGUGAAAUGCACAGCAUUUGUGAGUUAAUUUUCAUUUUUUCCUGCAAAGAAUUGUCAAGGACCCUAAAGGAACAGUGUGUUUAGCGGAGGCCUGCAAAAGAAGCAGGACAAAGAAAUUCAAACAGAGUUUACAAAAUGCAGAUUCAGCGAAUUGCACUUUAUUUACAGAUCAAAUGUUCUCAGUUGGGCGUUCUUUUUAUGCAAAACUCCAGCUCACCUUUUUUUUAUAGGUGAUAUCAAAUAAAAUGCUCUAGCUCUCUCUUUUAAAAUAGCGAAUAAAUAAAUAUUCAGGGAAGUCUAGAAAGCACUACCUAUUACAGUCAGAGAGCCCAUAGAGGACCUCAAUAAAUAACUGUUUAUGAUAUAUUUGUUUCAUAUAUGUAUAAAUUAUGUUUUGUAUGUGUGUGUGUGCAUCUGUGUCCAUGUCUGUCUGUGUGUAUCACAGUUACACGACUAACUAGAGACGUGCGAUUGCAGACAAACCUCGAUCACACUCUGUGUUACUCCACUGGGUGUUUUUAUAGAGUUUUCUCCCCAGUUUCUCAUUUCCUAAGGUUUUAAAGAAGUAAUUGUCUGCAUGGUUUAUGCCCAUCUUUUAGAUCCCAACAAAAGACAUGGCCAUAAUUAGGCAUUCUAAGCCAUAAUCAUAGGAUCAAAAUCAUACAGAGUUGUAACAAGCACAUGGGCACAAAGGCAACUUGGCUUGCUCAGAUUUUACCAGACACCUCCAUAGUAGCAUUAGUUACUUGUACUUUUAACUAGACAGAUAUACCUCAUCUCUAUUUUAGAAACCUCCAGGCUUUAUACCUGAAUUCCCACAAAUCUGGACCCCCAAUGAAGAAAAUUGGCUUAAAUACACACUCAAAAUUGUUCGAUAGUUGAUUAAAGCUUUGGCCCUGCAAGAGUAAUAGCCUUGCAACAAUAGCGCUGCUAAUCUGUGUGAAGUAGGUGUACACAUAUGCCUCUUUUUAUUUGACGUGACUUAGGCGUAGCAGAGUCCUAGAAAUCGCAGUCAUUGAUGUUCAUCUAAAUCACUACUUUCCAUCACUUAGCGCAGUACUUCGAUUCGGACAUAUUUAUAAAGAGGCCAUGUGUGCAUGGUGUGUGCUGAAUUUCUGAAUUUCUGAAUUCAUUACUACCAAUGACUUUUUAACAGAAAAAUACAACGCUGGCUAGUUCAAAGUCAGGGAGGCAAUUUCAGAAAUGUACAGCAGCCAGCAAACGAGGGGGUAAAUAGGACAAGAGUGGCCACAUUAGCCUUCCCUUCUUACAUGCAGGAGCUCAAAAAAUGCUGUUGGACACAGUGCUUUAUUCGAAGAGGUUUCACACAUGCAUUUUUAAUCAGGAUUAUAUUUCACAGAGAUCUGUCACCGCUCACAAGUGCAGCCGGCCGGUCCUCCUUGAAAUGUAUCAGCUCUCGGUCUCAGACCUGAACGAGUUUUUCUUUGUACAAAUCUCGACUUGGUGAUCCACAAGGUGGUGUUUUUCUUAAAAGGAAAAAAUAAUCCCUUCGAGUUGCUUAGGACCCCCACGCACGUUGUUUUUAGUUCAAACAGACAACUGCUUUAACCUGGAACUGUCUUCUAAGUCACUCUCUCCGCCAAGUUAAAGAGGUUAAACAUUUGGUUUUUAAGGUAUUUGCUAAACCUUGAAGAUCUAGUAAGUGGUUUUUUACAUUCAGUUAUUUGCAUAAAUUUGUGUGGUGUUACUCUCACAUUUUUCUUCUAGUCUUGAUUUACUACAUUAUUAAUCUAUUCUCUCCUAUGAUAAUGACGACAAUGACAUAAUUAAUAACAUAUAGUGAAAAAUAUUCAUAUGGACAUCUUUCUCCAAUGUGCUCCAAAUAUUAGAUACAUUAGGUGGCCAUACCAUAAAUGUAUGUUCUUAUCUAGGUGUAUAAAAUAUCCUAUAAAAAUUUGUAAAUGCAAAGAAAAGCAACUGUGUGUAUGUGUAUCCCUAACACUGCCUAAGCAACAAAACAGAUACAAAAGCCCAAAGAGGAGGUCAAAGGUCACAGUUACUAUUUAAAUAAAUUUGAUAUUGUACUAUAAUUACCAAUUAUAUUUGAAAUGUUCUAUAAUUUGAAAUGAUCUAUGAUUAUAUUUUAAAGGCCUCUACUUUGAAAACUUCAGUGUAUUUAGAACAACAAAAAUGCACUCUCACAUAUUCAAAUUAACACAGGAACAGAGAAGGGUUUUUUAAAGCUUAAGUUGGCAUAUAUCAUGUUUAAUGUGUAACAAAUACCAAACCUCCAUUAAGGCACACCCAAAGCAUUACACCUCUAAACUAUAACCUUGUCUCAAAAUACAUUUCAAAUAGUGUGUAGUAGAAUUUUUUUUAGAUACAACAAUCUCUAAUAUUUGUGAAAAGGCAAAAGAGUAAAACCAGUUUAAAAUCUGUAGGUUGGGAAUUACUGUGUAUUAGCAUACGUCCAGAAGAAUAGGCCAACACCAAUAGCACAGGAACAGAUACGUGAAGUAACCAUAUCUAUAUGUUGUCAAGCAACUGGUCAUAAAAGCACUGAAUAAAAGGGCAUUUGAAAUUGGAUAGUUCUGAAAAAUACCACAGCUGAUUUUUUAUAUUCUCUGACAGUUAAGAACAAAAAGACUUUCAGACAAAGAUUUUAGACACUCUCUGUGAUAUUUGACUUCCCCAAAGUGGAUGCAUCCGAUUACCAAAAGUCUGGAACCCCCAAAAAAGCCCGUAUUAAGCCAUUUGAUCCUCAGUUGCUUCAUAUUCAUAAAAUUACUGUAUUACUCACCAUUAUCAUCAAAAACACUGUGCAUUUUCACAUCUGUCAAAGCAUUUAAAAAACCAGAGCUUACAUCUACAAAACGGUGGUGAAGAAAGGCAGCCUAGAAUAUUACACAGAGUCCUUUUUAAAAACAUUACAAUUUUAAUAAUUAAAGCUUUAUUUAGUUUUACCACAAUCAGAAGGUUUGGAAAAUAAAUGUCAAAUUUCCAUGGCAUCUAAUUAGCGGCACAAAUACCAAUGACUCAAAAUUUUCAGGAGCUUAAAAGAUAAAAUUGUCUUUCAGAUCCAGAUUGUUGUCUAGUUUAAGUACAAGGAAAAAGAAGGUAUUAAAGCAAUCAUACUUUUUUUAUCCAUUGCUUUAGCAUUUAGUUAACAAGGACUCUGUGGCUUUAGAGUUGCUUAGCCAACAGCCUAGUAUAGCACAUUUAUAUUCCCCAAUUGGUUUCAUGUUUCCAAAGGGAAAUUUUAGAGGGUAUUAGUUUAAAAUAUUUAUCUCUCUAUUUAGGAAAAUCUCUCACUGUAGUCU
rnacentral:lncRNA from 1 species